AUGAGAAUAACCGAUUUGGUAGUG
rnacentral:siRNA from 1 species